AGGGUUUGAUCCUGGCUCAGAGCGAACGCUGGCGGCGUGGUUGAUACAUGCAAGUCGAACGGGAACGGCGGCUUCGGCCGUCUAGUACAGUGGCGAACGGGUGCGUAACACGUACUUAAUGUGCCUCCAAGACUGGGAUAGCCACCCGAAAGGGUGGGUAAUACCGGAUAAGACCACGGCACCGCAUGGUGCUGUGCUAAAAGGUUUUUCGCUUGGAGAUCAGAGUGCGGCCUAUCAGCUAGUUGGCGGGGUAACGGCCCACCAAGGCGACGACGGGUAGCCGGCCUGAGAGGGUGUCCGGCCACACUGGAACUGAGACACGGUCCAGACUCCUACGGGAGGCAGCAGUACUGAAUCGUUCACAAUGGACGAAAGUCUGAUGACGCGACGCCGCGUGGAGGAUGAAGGCCUUCGGGUUGUAAACUCCUGUCAGGGAUUCGGAAAAAAAUGACCAAUCCCAGAGGAAGCACUGGCUAACACCGUGCCAGCAGCCGCGGUAAUACGGUGAGUGCAAGCGUUGCUCGGAAUCACUGGGCAUAAAGGGUGCGUAGGCGGCUUAUUAAGUCAGGCGUGAAAUCCCUCGGCUCAACCGGGGAACUGCGCCUGAUACUGGUAGGCUUGAGGUUACGAGGGGAGAGCGGAACUCCAGGUGUAGCGGUGGAAUGCGUAGAUAUCUGGGGGAAGGCCGGCGGCGAAGGCGGCUCUCUGGUGUAUACCUGACGCUGAAGCACGAAAGCGUGGGGAGCAAACAGGAUUAGAUACCCUGGCAGUCCACGCCCUAAACGAUGGGUACUUUGUCGAGGGGGGACCGAUCCCUUCUUGGCAGGCGGUAAUCCGUUAAGUACCCCGCCUGGGGAGUAUGGUCGCAAGGCUAAAACUCAAAGGAAUUGACGGGGGCUCACACAAGCGGAGGAGGAUGUUGUUCAAUUCGAUUCGACGCGAAGAACCUUACCUGGGCUUGAAAUGCUAGUGGUAAAAUCCUGAAAGGGAAAUGAUCUCCUAACCGAGAAGCUAGCACAGGUGCUGCAUGGCUGUCGUCAGCUCGUGUCGUGAGAUGUCGGGUUAAGUCCCAUAACGAGCGAAACCCUUGUCGUCUGUUGCCAGCGGGUAAUGCCGGGCACUCUGACGAGACUGCCGGUGUCAAACCGGAGGAAGGUGGGGACGACGUCAAGUCAUCAUGGCCCUUACGUCCAGGGCGACAAACGUCCUACAAUGGCAGGUACAGCGAGAAGCAAUAUCGCGAGAUGGAGCUAAUCUUAAAAACCUGCCCCAGUUCGGAUUGGAGGCUGCAACUCGCCUCCAUGAAGUUGGAUUCGCUAGUAACCGCGGAUCAUCCAUUCCGCGGUGAAUACGUUCCUGAGCCUUGUACACACCGCCCGUCAAGCCACCCAAGCUGGGGGUACCCGAAGUCCGGCGCUAAUAGUCCGGCCGAAGGUAAAUCUGGUGAGGGGGACUAAGUCGAAACAAGGUA
rnacentral:rRNA from 1 species